GGAGGAAAGCAGGGGAUCGCAAGACCUUGCGCUCAUUGAGCGGCCGAUGCCUGAUUAGCUAGUUGGUGAGGUAAAGGCUUACCAAGGCGACGAUCAGUAGCUGGUCUGAGAGGACGACCAGCCACACUGGGACUGAGACACGGCCCAGACUCCUACGGGAGGCAGCAGUGGGGAAUUUUGGACAAUGGGGGAAACCCUGAUCCAGCCAUGCCGCGUGAGUGAAGAAGGCCUUCGGGUUGUAAAGCUCUUUCAGCCGGAACGAAACGGUCACGGCUAAUACCUGUGACUACUGACGGUACCGGAAGAAGAAGCACCGGCUAACUACGUGCCAGCAGCCGCGGUAAGAAGUAGGGUGCGAGCGUUAAUCGGAAUUACUGGGCGUAAAGCGUGCGCAGGCGGUUUUGUAAGUCAGAUAAGGAAUCCCCGGGCUUAACCUGGGAACUGCGUUGCAUUAACGUUGCUAGAAGGGC
rnacentral:rRNA from 1 species